UAGAACAAUGUAGGUAAGGGAAGUCGGCAAGCCGGAUCCGUAACUUCGGGAUAAGGAUUGGCUCUAAGGGCUGGGUCAGUCGGGCUGGGGCAUGAAGCGGGCUGGGCGCAAGCCGCGGCUGGGCAAGGCGCUGCCCUAGAACCGCCCUAGCUUGGGCAGGCGUCGAUCGCCUCUCCCCCUCUGCGGGGAUGGGGGGGCCAGCGUUCUGCCUCGGCCGGCGCCUAGCAGCUGACCUAGAACUGGUGCGGACCAGGGGAAUCCGACUGUUUAAUUAAAACAAAGCAUCGCGAAGGCCCACGGUGAGUGUUGAUGCGAUGUGAUUUCUGCCCAGUGCUCUGAAUAUCAAAGUGAAGAAAUUCAAUGAAGCACGGGUAAAUGGCAGGAGUAACUAUGACUCUCUUAAGUAACUAUGACUCUCUUAAAGUGUUCUACUUUGGGGAGUCGGGCUCUUGAGGCAGGAAGAAGCAGCUUCUUUGAGGAGGGGGGUUGUCUCCUCCCGAGCGGCUGGAGCUCUGGCUGGAUAAGGAGGUUGCACCUCUCCUCUUGAGGUUCGCUGAUUCUCUCACUAGUCUGCACCGUUUAGGGGAAAAAGACAUGGUUCGCCACUGAUCCUCCUACUCUGGUCUAGUUACUGGGGCAGCAAGAAUAAUAGAUCCUUAACCUUCCCGCGGUGCCCGCCGAUCGCCACCUAUAUGGUGGUAGCCAAGAGGAUCUGCUGCCCUGCCCCACAGGGUGACUGGGCUGGAAAACACCCUGUGGGAGAAGCCAACACUUCGGUGUUGAAAAACAAUAUGAUGGCCGAGCCUCCGGGUUCGCAGCAAACCGCCCUCCAUUGCAUUGAGAAUUGUGGGGUUCUCUUGAACUACCACCUAUGCCCACAUACUCUCCAGAACGGGAGGCGACAGUUGCUCUUCGAAUGUAAAGGGUUGGAAACCGGGAAACUCGAGACCCUGAAAAGAUUAGCUAAGUCUCCAGACGCUGUUGCCUGGGAAGGUUCUGAUGACCACUGUUCCAUGAGGUCCUUUCCCUCAUGCAAUGUCUUUCUCCAUUUUCCUACUGUUCUUGUCCAAUCUGUCUACCCGCCCGCCUCCAAGGGAUUCUCGUAAUGAUUAUAUUAAUCACGCUCGCUGUCACCGAACUUGACACUGGUUGGACGGGCCACCUGGGGUUUGGAACACCCCAAAUAACCUGGAAAAGAAACCCGCAUGGGUUUGUAAAAUAGCCAAAUGCCUUGUCAUCUAAUUAGUAAUGCGCAUGAAUGGAUGAAUGAGAUUCCCACUGUCCCUACCUACUAUCUAGCGAAACCACAGCCAAGGGAACGGGCUUGG
rnacentral:ncRNA from 1 species